rnacentral:misc_RNA from 1 species
UUUCAAAUUUUAGUAUCCAAACAUGGCAGUAAUGAUUUCAGUAAUACAAUUAAAAACAAAACACUUUACAAACUCGGAAAGCCUUAUUCCCCUUUAAUUUUCCCAUUGUAUUAGUCAUACAAUUACUCUACCUUUAAGGAGGCCACUCUUGAAAAUGAAUUUGCAGAAAAUAAAAAUGCUUUUAUCUUUUCUUGGAUCCUUUUUUUGUUCUUUUAAAAAAGUGUCAUUUUAAAUAACAAUUGAAAGUGGCAUCCAUGAGAGUGGGAAGUGCCUCAACCUUUAUUUUUAGCAUAUGUUCACAAUAUCAAAUGCAUGUAUCAAUUGAAUGCAUACUUUCUCAUUUACACAAGCCAUUCAUGUGAAAAAGAAUUGAAGUCCUGAUUGCUUUUUGAUUCUAUUCUUAUAGUGUUAACUGUACCAGUUAGCGUUAACUGUGUCAACUGAACAUGCUUUCACUUAGAUGAAACAUAUUAAAAGCAAUGCAAAAUUACUCCACCUUAGCCUAUUUAAGCUGGGCAUUAUAUUCAGAAAAGAAAAUGUUGUUCUACUAGCCUGCUCUUCCAAUGUGAAGUAUGGCAAAGGGAAAGAGAACUUUUUGCUGGAAUGAUACAAAAUUUUUGUUGUAAUCACUUUUUUAUUGCCAAAUUAAUGAUUCCCAGCCUUCACUUGAUAAUGAAAUGCAAAGUAAAAACAGUCAGACUUUUAUUCAAGGAAUUUUGCAUUGCCCAUUCUUUUCAUUGCAAGCCACUGCUGAUGUCUUUAAGUAGCAAAUUAUGUGCAACUUGUUGUUUGUUAGACCCAGCCACGAUCUGGGUUGAGCCCAGAACCAGUCAACGGUUGACGGGUCUGAACCUUACUGGAAUGGUUUGAACUGUUUCUUUUUUAUAUAUAUAAAAAUAAAAAAAAUAAAAAAUUGAUUUUUUUUCCAACUAGCUGAUUGCCUCAACCCUAAUGAACUGGAACCUAAACCUUUGGGAACUAGACUUCCACAGUCUGGUUCAGGUCCCUUCCCCUCCCCUCCACUGAUCGGAACAUGCUCAUGGCCAGCAAUGCUUAUAGUAUCAUGGAACUUGUUUGUUUUAUGGACCUUAAUUAUGUUACAGCAACAAACAAAGCUUGUUAGAUGUCGUCUCAUCAAAUAACAAUAAUCAGCAUGAGAAUUUUAGUGUACUGUCCUGAUUAUAUGCUUGAUGAUUAUCUGCAGGAAGCAAUCUGUGCAUUCUAUCGGUUUAUAUGGAAUCUCUUUUAUGCUGAAUAUAUCAUAUUUCCUUUUAUAUAGAUGAAUUUGCAUUUCUUUAGCCUUGUCUAGAGCACAGAGAGAGAGAGAGAGAGAGA